GACGAACGCUGGCGGCGUGCCUAAUACAUGCAAGUAGAACGCUGACUACUUUAGCUUGCUAGAGUAGAAGGAGUUGCGAACGGGUGAGUAACGCGUAGGUAACCUGCCUACUAACGGGGGAGUAACUAUUGGAACGAAUGGCUAAUACCGCAUAACAGUGUUUAACACAUGUUAGAUGCUUGAAAGAAUGCAAUUAGCAUCACUAGUAGAUGGACCUGCGUUGUAUUAGCUAGUUGGUGGGGUAAC
rnacentral:rRNA from 1 species